ensembl:lncRNA
CGGCCAUCAGACGGCGAUGAAGAGCAUAUGCUCUCAUUGAAGGCAAUUUAUCUAUAUCCUCUGAAACUCUCUUGGCUAAAAUACGUUGAUUGUAAACACUAUGUUAAGUAAAGCAUGCCCAGACACUUGAUUGUCCGUUUAUGGUGGUUUUAUGCGAUCAAACGUUGACGACAAAAACAACAAAGUUCCACGGUGGCCAGAGAAAAUCAGUCCUGACUUGAGGGCCGUUCCAAAGCGUUUUGUCAGGCAACUCUGGACAAGAACGGUGAGCCUCCACGAGGAAGACUGGUGUCCACGGCAACCCAUCCUCAUCAGGGUCUCCAGCGUUCACACCUCUCCUUUCACCCUGGAGAACGGAACCCUCUGUUUGUCCUCAAGCGACGCUCCUGGUGGCCGUCCACGGAGAGGGAAGUUGGGGAAUAUGUGGACACCUGUCUUGUGUGCGCCUGAAAGAAGAUCUCCCAACGAGACCAGGAGACCUCCUGGUCUCUUGUGCACCCUCUGAAGCUUUUCUUCAAGGUCUCAUACCCGCUCUCUCUCUCUCUCUCUCUCUCUCUCUCUCUCUCUCUCUCUCUCUCUCUCUCUCUCUCUCUCUCUCUCUCUCUCUUCCUCCCUUCACCACAAGUUCACACGAGAAUGAAAGGGGGGCUGAAGAGAAAAGGGAAGAAAACUAAAACAAGAUGCUGGAAUCAAAUGCGCCAUAACGUUUUUUGACUGCUCUUGCACUAUUUUUACAGAGGGGGUUUGAAGCAGGGCUGGGCUGCUUCCUGAAUAUCUUAGAGCUUCCUCAGUGUCUUUAUCUACAAUUUCACUUAUUUACACAUCAGUGCAGGAACAUCUGCUUCAACACUUGCCCCAAAUCUAUGAAGUGAUGUUUUGCAAUAUACCAUUUAAUUUUUAAUGCUGAUAUUCAGUUCUCCUUCAAAACACAAGAACUUUCAUAGAUCAGGGCCUUUUGAUGACAACUAAACAACAUCCAAUCGCCCGGAAAUCUACUGGAUUUCAAGAGAUAAACAAAACCAUUGCAAGCAAACAAACUAAUGAUAAACAGUAGAAAACUAUACAAUAUCUUACAUUGCAGUAGCAUGGAGGAAUCAAGGCUUCUCGUACAUCCCCUUGUGAUAAACAAGUCCAAAUGUAAAUAAUCCAAGAGCCAUGUGAGGAAAUAUAAGAAAAAACUAAUGUUUAAGAAAGACAUUUUAAAAAUAUGUAUUGAUAAUAUAUAAUAAUAUUUUGAUAUUCUGUUUGCAUAGUGUUUGAUUUGUCAUCGUGCUAAACCAACAAAAAUAUGAACCCAUUAAAAUGGGAUUGCAGCCGAACAGCUGUCAAACAAAAACAAUGUUCCAGUUGCCUCAUACAAUUGCUCUCGAGUGGAUGCCUGCAUUGUUGCUGCUCUAUUCUGCCUGAGAAAGUUGUUGUGCACCUGGAUGUGUUCAUCGCCACGACAAGAUGAGCUGGCCCUGUGCCUUGUGCUUUCCCACUUCACUCACUGCCAAAGACUACAUGUAUUGAUUCUCAAUACAUCAGCCUAAUUAUUACCGAGGAGCGAUUCUGCAGGAUCUCUGUUGUGAAGAAUUACAGGAAAUGGAGAGAAUGGGCAAUAAUGUUUUGUUUUGGAUGUGACCAUAAAACAAUCCAGUUCCCAUCAUGUUCAUAAUCAAACUUACAAAUUAAAAUAUUAGUUUAUUUCAUUUCGAUUUAGCUACCAAGGAAACCGAGCUACCGAGCAAAAUUACUGUUGGUACUGUGGUCAUAUCUCUAGGUUUGUAUUUCAUAUAUCUGCAUUUAUUUUUGACAAGAGACAGUAAUAUUAAAUUAAGUUAUUUUCAUAAGAAAAACUAACAUUUGUUGGCCAUACCAACACUUUUCGGAAAGGUA